rnacentral:rRNA from 1 species
UACAGAGGUCUCAAGCGUUGUUCGGAAUCACUGGGCGUAAAGGGUGCGUAGGCGGCGGGGAAAGUCAGAUGUGAAAUCCGGAGGCUCAACCUCCGAAUGGCAUCCGAUACUCCCUCGCUAGAGAUUUGUAGAGGAGCUUGGAAUUCUCGGUGUAGCAGUGAAAUGCGUAGAUAUCGAGAAGAACGCUCGCAGCGAAGGCGAAGCUCUGGGCAAAUUCUGACGCUGAUGCACGAAGGCUAGGGGAGCAAACGGG